GAAGCACCGGCUAACUACGUGCCAGCAGCCGCGGUAAUACGUAGGGUGCAAGCGUUAAUCGGAAUUACUGGGCGUAAAGGGUGCGCAGGCGGUUCUGUAAGUCAGAUGUGAAAUCCCCGGGCUUAACCUGGGAACUGCGUUUGAAACUGCAGAGCUAGAGUGCGGCAGAGGGAGGUGGAAUUCCAUGUGUAGCAGUGAAAUGCGUAGAGAUAUGGAAGAACAUCGAUGGCGAAGGCAACCUCCUGGGCUAGCACUGACGCUCAUGCACGAAAGCGUGGGGAGCAAACAGGAUUAGAUACCCCUGGUAGUCCACGCCCUAAACUAUGUCAACUAGUUGUCGGGCCUUAAUAGGCUUGGUAACGUAGCUAACGCGUGAAGUUGACCGCCUGGGGAGUAGGUCGCAAGAUUAAAACUCAAAGGAAUUGACGGGG
rnacentral:rRNA from 1 species